UACGGAGGGUGCGAACGUUAAUCGGAAUUACUGGGCGUAAAGCGCGCGUAGGUGGCUUGAUAAGCCAGUUGUGAAAGCCCCGGGCUCAACCUGGGAACGGCAUCCGGAACUGUCAAGCUAGAGUGCAGGAGAGGAAGGUAGAAUUCCCGGUGUAGCGGUGAAAUGCGUAGAGAUCGGGAGGAAUACCAGUGGCGAAGGCGGCCUUCUGGACUGACACUGACACUGAGGUGCGAAAGCGUGGGUAGCAAACAGG
rnacentral:rRNA from 1 species